GUGAUCACCCAAGUAUAACAGGACUUUCCUUUUCCUUUAAGGCACAGCUGAAAAACAAUUUGCAUUAGUCUCUUAGCGUUAUGGCACCCGAGGUGUCCGAUCUGCCCUGUGUUGCACUUUUAAGCCUAGCAUCCACCUGUAAGUGCUCACAUGAGUGAGGGGGUUAUAGCAUGAAAAUGUGCAAAACUGGAGCACAGAAAAACAUCCUCAAAUGUCAAAUAUACAUAUAUUUGUUGAUGUUGUAGACAUACAGUGCCAUAUGAUAACACUGUUGAUUUAAAUGGAAAUAUUAUCGUUUCAGAGAGAAGCCAUGCACAAAUAUAGUCCAAGCACAAAAAGCGGAAAGAAAACGCAGUACCAUGAUGUGAUUUUUUUUACAUAUUCCCAAAGAACUUGGAACUUGGCUUCAGCAGACUGGCCAGGAGUUCAAAGAUCUCGAUGGCUACGCACAGUGCAUUCUGGACAAGAAGAAAAAUGACAAUUAUCGCAUCUGCACCCGAAUGUUACAUGUUUAGAGGUAGUAUCAAGGCUCUGAGAGAAGAUGUGCUGCCCACUAUAUUUCCUGACUCCAAGGGGAGACCAUUGAUAAAAGAAAGCACCUUCAGCUGUUCGCAUGCUAAAUAGUUACAACUGCAAACACUAGCCCAGGCGCAAGCAUUGACUACUGAGAUUACCAUGGAACCAGCUGCUUUCAUGAGCAUGCAUAUUGCUAUAGAAAGUAUUUGGCUGGCAUAAAGAGAUGCAAGCACUCAAACAGAGGUGGAUUGUAUUGCCAUUGAUCAAGCUGUGCAAUCUCUGGAAGCUGCAAUGCCAGUGAAGGUAGACACCUAAUAAAUAAACAAUGGCCGAGACCAUACUUUUCUGUGAUGAUCAUGUCUUCGCCAGAACUAUUCUGUUGGGGUAUACAAUGGUAUACAAUGUGCAGUCACAAAAGCAGAAAAGCCAUGUUUCCCAUAAGAACUCAUGAAGUCCGUGUGACCAUUGAAGACACUUCAGAAGAGGAUAUGGUGCAAGUAAGGAAAUUCUUAGUCUUUGAGUCAUGCCUGGAUACCUUGUUCUAUAAACUCGCAUGUGGUAGGCUGUACAGCUCCAGUUGGGAGCUUCAGAAAAGAUGUAGACGGCUCAUUUCUCUCUGUUACUGGGUAUUGUAUAAAUGGACAUCGUUCAAGUUGUGGCAAAGCCAGCCAUGCUUGGAGUGAGUUGCUGCUGGUAAUCUUUUACUAUCGGCUACCAUUUUCUUCAGUGGCUCUAAUUCUAAGCAAGUCCGUGAAAUGAAUAACCUCUUAGGAAUGCAGCAGUUAUCUGAAAAAGCUUACUGCAAAGAUCACAAGGAAUUUCUCUUUGAAAAUACGGACCAUCACUGGUGUUUGGAGCACAAGAGAGUCAAAGACAAAAUUGGCAAAAAACCUUUGUGCAGAGCUGGAGAUGGGAUGUACAGCAGCUCCAGAAGCACAGCAAAAUAUUGCUCCUAUACAAUGAUAGCUCUAGCCUCACAUAAGGUGGUGGACUUCAAAGUGUCUUCUCCUUCCCAUGAGCAGGUCUUUAACUGUAGAGAGGACAUUUCAGAAUUGCCUUGACAAGAUACUCGAAGAAGAAUUGAAAAUGCGUGAAUUUGCUACGGAUCGCCAUGCUGGAAUCGAGAAAGUAAUGAGAGAGAAAUAUGCGGACGUUAACCAUCAGCAUAAAGUCUGCAAUUAUGUCAAACACUUGAACAAGUCUCAGCCAGUAAGAAAAAGAUGGGUGACAAUAUUUGCUUAUGGAUCUGUCCCAUUAUCAAACAUUUUUGGUGGAGCAUUAAAACUUGUGUUGGGGUUGGAAACAUGCUUUGUGAAGGGUGUCAGUCUCUUCUCUAUCAUGUUACAGACUAACAUAACUGGAAGGAUAUAUAUCAUUCUAAUUCCCAUAAGCCGUUAAAGAACAAGUAAAGCCAAUAUUUGGGCAUAUCUUGUCCACCCAUGCUACAUCAUGUGUACUGCAAAUGCACAACAUACUUUGAUAAAAAGUUCUGCUGGGGUUGAGCACUUUAAUGGUUAAGCUGAGCUCAGGAGAUCUGGUUAGGAGUAAAACAUAGGAUCAGACAGCUAGAGUUUCUAUGGGAACCAGCAAUGCUAUCUCUUCAUUGGCUGUUAGACUGGAGGAUGUGUUUAGUAAUAUGAGCUGAGAAGAACUGAGCAUGCUCAUGAGCCAACAGCUAAAUCAAAUUCCCGAGGGAGAGGGCUUAUAGGAGGAGAAGGAUUUCUAAGUGAUUAAGGGGAUGCUGCAGCCUUACUGUUAACCUAUUAACAACCAGAGUGGCAGUUAUCUAAAGAUUUCAAAGAGGCUGUUCACUGAUUUUUGUGGAGGGGGUUUACAUGUCCUUUAACACAGCAGGAGAGGAAGGCCAUUGGCUGUCUGAAAAAAGACAGUCCAGCCUAUAAGCAUCUUCGGGAAAUUGUUAAAGACCCACAGUUGACACAAGACCUUCCUCACCUGUCUGAUGGCUGCCAUGGAGGAUCCAUUGUUGCCUUCCGUAGCCACAUGCGCAAGUACAGAGCCAGUUCAGCUCUUGGUAUAUCAUCUAUGAAAGCAAGGACCAAACUGGCCAUACUUGCCAACAACCAUAAUGUCGCUAAACAGAAUUGUAAACAGGGCAGAGAAGAAUGCCCAUGAAGUGUGCGAAAAGGUGUGAAAUGCAAAAAAAACGGGGAAGCUCCCUUCCAGAUAACCAAUGGCACAGGAAAAUCAUUCAUGGCAAAACGUCAAAAAAGCACAUUUAAAGGGUAUGUUGACAGACCUCCUGAGGAUAUGCAAACUUUUCACCACAUGGGAACUUCCGAAUUGUAAGUCGAUCAGUCAGUAGAGCGAGGAGGGGCCCAAUAAGGAAAUAACAAUACUGUUCUUUUCCUCAACUUCUGGAGUGGAAAUAAUGUGUGAAUUUAGGAAACCAUGAACUCGGAACAGAAACCUCUUUGCGUGCCUCACCCGAGAGGCCCCAGCUGUGAUGGUGGACUUGACCGGUAACUACCUACGCCUUAUGCCAAGUAUGAGUUUUUGUUACUGGGUGCCCUGUUGUACAUCAAGCUUAUCUCCCUUGAUUGGGACAAUUAACCAACACAGAGGAAAAGUGGCACGUUUCUCAAGGAACCAGGCAAUCGACGUAGAGUCCUGCGCAGAACCAGUUUGACUCGAACCCAGACCCGCAACCCACAUACCCGCUACCCGAACUGCAAGUACCUUAUCCACAACCCGCUAACCAUCAAGAAACAGGAAACUAACAUGGAGCAUCACUAUAUCAGGACUAACCAAGGAGCCCACAGAUUGAUAACAAGUGGAUGUUCUUAGCCAUUUUCUUCAGCGGCAUCUGCAAAGUUCUCCAACCAUGGAACAUUGUUAUACCCUUCUGAUGAGUGCAAGAGGUUCCCGGGAGCUCUGAAUAAAGGAAGAACGUGAGUCCUGCGAGGAACCAAUUUCUAAGACCUGGACCCGCAACCGGAACUGCGGCCUGCAUAUUUACCUACUUUGAACCACUACCCGACCCAGACCGGAAGUGACAUCAUCAAACGUCGCCGAUAGUCGAGAUGAACAGAAGCUCGCCGUGUGAUGUGAGAGCUGUGCCGGAAGACAGAUGGGAGGGGGAGAUGAGAGGAGGGAGAGCACUGCAGCAGGAAGAGAUCUGCAACCCGUGACACCGCUUCUAUACCCGCACCUGAAAAGCCUACCCUCAUUCCGCAGGGUACCCACUUUUUUUGUGGGUAACCCGCGGGUACCCGACCCACUGCAGGACUCUACCUCUUGCACCAGGAUUUAAGCUGAUCACAUAAAUCAUAGGCUGUUUCAGCUUGAUUACAUUAUAUUAUAUUGUUUUUUCUGGCUCAGGAAGUAUGUGGCACCGGAAAAGGUUUUAGAUUCUUACAUAGUUGGCUUUAAUAGUUUUUAUACCCUUUAAUAACCAAAACCUUCCUGUAAACAAGAGCUUAUGCAAGCUGUCUGCUCGGCUCAACACAACGUUCUCAGCUUAUUGGCCAAUUGACUGUGGCCUACCACAUGCCUUUUCUAUUGAUAUCUGGCUG